CAGGGCGAAAGCUGACGGAGCAGAACGCGUGAGGGAGGAAGGCUUUUGGGUUGUAAACCUCUUUUCUCUGGGAAGAAGAAAUGACGGUACCAGAGGAAUAAGCAUCGGCUAACUCCGUGCCAGCAGCCGCGGUAAGACGGAGGAUGCAAGCGUUAUCCGGAAUUAUUGGGCGUAAAGCGUCCGCAGGUGGCCAACCAAGUCUGUCGUCAAAGACCGCAGCUUAACUGCGGGAAGGCGGUGGAAACUGGUAGGCUAGAGGGCAGUAGGGGUAGAGAGAAUUCCCAGUGUAGCGGUGAAAUGCGUAGAGAUUGGGAAGAACACCGGUGGCGAAAGCGCUCUACUGGACUGCAACUGACACUAAGGGACGAAAGCUAGGGGAGCGAAAGGGAUUAGAUACCCCUGUAGUCCUAGCCGUAAACGAUGGAUACUAGGUGUUGCCUGUAUCGACCCGGGCAGUGCCGUAGCCAACGCGUUAAGUAUCCCGCCUGGGGAGUACGCACGCAAGUGUGAAACUCAAAGGAAUUGACGGGGGCCCGCACAAGCGGUGGAGUAUGUGGUUUAAUUCGAUGCAACGCGAAGCAACUUACCAGGACUUGACAUGUCGCGAAA
rnacentral:rRNA from 1 species